rnacentral:rRNA from 1 species
UACAGAGGGGGCAAGCGUUGUUCGGAAUUACUGGGCGUAAAGGGCUCGUAGGCGGCCAACUAAGUCGGAUGUGAAAUCCCCAGGCUCAACCUGGGAACUGCAUCCGAUACUGGAUGGCUUGAAUUCGGGAGAGGGAUGCAGAAUUCCAGGUGUAGCGGUGAAAUGCGUAGAUAUCUGGAGGAAUACCGGUGGCGAAGGCGGCAUCCUGGACCGACAUUGACGCUGAUGAGCGAAAGCUAGGGGAGCAAACGGG